rnacentral:rRNA from 1 species
GAUGAACGCUGGCGGCGGGCCUAAUACAUGCAAGUCGAGCGGACGCACGGGAAGCGCUCGCCCCUGAUGGUAGCGGCGGACGGGUGGGUAACACGUGGAUAACCUACCUAUAAGACGGGGAGAACUACGGGAAACAGGAGAUAAUACUAGAGAAUACGUUGUACCGCAGGGAGCAAAAGAGAAUGGCGGUCUUGGUGACAGUUAGAGAUGGUUCCGGGCUGCAUUAGCUAGUUGGUAAGGUAACGGCCUACCAAGGCAACGAUGCGUAGCCGACCUGAGAGGGUGAUCGGCCACACUGGAACUGAGACACGGUCCAGACUCCUACGGGAGGCAGCAGUGGGGAAUCUUCCGCAAAGGGCGCAAGCCUGACGCAGCCACGCCGCGUGAGUGAUGAAGGUCUUCGGGUCGUAAAGCUCUGUUGUUGGGGAAGAACAUAUGUGUAUGAAACUGUGCCCGUUUUGACGGUACCUAAUCAGUAAGCACCGGCUAACUACGUG